CGGCUCGRAGGCAGGUAUAGUGUAUAUUAGAUACAGAACCAAUACACCAUCUGUUAACAGCAGGUGGGGUAAAAAAGGGAAUCAUAGUAACCGAACGAAUCGCAUUAUGGUCAUUUUAUAUGGCUGGCGAUAGAUCAUUCGAGCUUCUGACCUAUCAGCUUUCGACGGUAGUGUAUUGGACUACCGUGGCAGUGACGGGCAACGGGGAAAUAGGGAU
rnacentral:rRNA from 1 species